rnacentral:rRNA from 1 species
UUCGGAGGUACUCGAGUGGCGAACGGGUGAGUAACACGUGGGUAAUCUGCCCUGCACUUCGGGAUAAGCCUGGGAAACUGGGUCUAAUACCGGAUAGGACCUUUUGGCGCAUGCCUUUUGGUGGAAAGCUUUUGCGGUGUGGGAUGGGCCCGCGGCCUAUCAGCUUGUUGGUGGGGUGACGGCCUACCAAGGCGACGACGGGUAGCCGGCCUGAGAGGGUGUCCGGCCACACUGGGACUGAGAUACGGCCCAGACUCCUACGGGAGGCAGCAGUGGGGAAUAUUGCACAAUGGGCGCAAGCCUGAUGCAGCGACGCCGCGUGGGGGAUGACGGCCUUCGGGUUGUAAACCUCUUUCAGCAGGGACGAAGCGCAAGUGACGGUACCUGCAGAAGAAGCACCGGCCAACUACGUGCCAGCAGCCGCGGUAAUACGUAGGGUGCGAGCGUUGUCCGGAAUUACUGGGCGUAAAGAGCUCGUAGGUGGUUUGUCGCGUUGUUCGUGAAAACCGGGGGCUUAACCCUCGGCGUGCGGGCGAUACGGGCAGACUGGAGUACUGCAGGGGAGACUGGAAUUCCUGGUGUAGCGGUGGAAUGCGCAGAUAUCAGGAGGAACACCGGUGGCGAAGGCGGGUCUCUGGGCAGUAACUGACGCUGAGGAGCGAAAGCGUGGGGAGCGAACAGGAUUAGAUACCCUGGUAGUCCACGCCGUAAACGGUGGGUACUAGGUGUGGGUUUCCUUCCUUGGAAUCCGUGCCGUAGCUAACGCAUUAAGUACCCCGCCUGGGGAGUACGGCCGCAAGGCUAAAACUCAAAGGAAUUGACGGGGGCCCGCACAAGCGGCGGAGCAUGUGGAUUAAUUCGAUGCAACGCGAAGAACCUUACCUGGGUUUGACAUGCACAGGACGCGGCAGAGAUGUCGGUUCCCUUGUGGCCUGUGUGCAGGUGGUGCAUGGCUGUCGUCAGCUCGUGUCGUGA